GCCUGGGUGGCUCAGCUGGUUAAGCGUCUGACUUCGGCUUAGGUUAUGAUCUCACAAUUCGUGGGUUCAGGACCCACACUGGGCU
rnacentral:tRNA from 1 species